rnacentral:rRNA from 1 species
GACGAACGCUGGCGGCGUGCCUAACACAUGCAAGUCGAACGGACGAGGCCCCUUCGGGGACCGAGUUAGUGGCGAACGGGUGAGUAACGCGUGAGAAACCUGCCUCUCAGUGGGGGACAACAGUUGGAAACGACUGCUAAUACCGCAUAAUGUAUUCGGAAGGCAUCUUCUGAAUACCAAAGCUUUAUGUGCUGAAAGAUGGUCUCGCGUCUGAUUAGCUAGAUGGCGGGGUAACGGCCCACCAUGGCGACGAUCAGUAGCCGACCUGAGAGGGUGACCGGCCACAUUGGGACUGAGACACGGCCCAAACUCCUACGGGAGGCAGCAGUGGGGAAUAUUGCACAAUGGGGGAAACCCUGAUGCAGCAACGCCGCGUGAGUGAAGAAGUAUUUCGGUAUGUAAAGCUCUAUCAGCAGGGAAGAAAAUGACGGUACCUGACUAAGAAGCCCCCGGCUAACUACGUG